AUGACGUCAUGGGCGGCGGCGUGGAGCCCAACGGCUCGGAGCAGGUGUCCGGGUACCGGGGUGCGCCCCCGCCUCCCCCUGCUUGGGCGGUGGGGGCACGGACACGGGCACAGCCACACAGACACGGACACAAAAACACACACACAUGUACAAACACACAGACACGGACACAGAAACACACACACAUGUACAAACACACACACAGAGAGACACACAGACACGGACACAGAAACACGCACACGUGUACAAACACACACAGACACACAGACACGGACAGAGAAACACACACACACAGACACGGAAACACGCACAUGUACGAACACAGACACGUACAGACACAGACACGGACACAGAAACACACACACACAGACACGGAAACACGCACACAUGUACGAACACAGACACGUACAGACACACAGACACGGACACACCAACAGAGACACACAGACGGUGACAAAAGCACGGACAAGGACGCGCGGGCAGGGACACGCGGACACGCGGACACGGACACACAAGCACACAGACGCGGACACACGGACACACAGCUGCGGGUGCUGUUUGGGGCCCGCUGCUCGCCCCCCCGCUGCUCCCUGCCCCGGCUGCGGGUGGCGGCGCCCCGAGCCCGUCCCCGCACCCAGCCCUGCCGGGGGGUCCCAGCGCUCCGGGCGCGGGGCCGGGCAGGGCGCCGGGGGGCUCAGGGACCGCGGCUCCGCUCCCCGCCUCGGCCCCCGCCCGCCCCGGAGCCCCCCCGGGCUGAGCACUGCACGCGUGUGCGCAGCGCGCCCAGCUCGGGCUGCAGCGGGGGUUGCGUGUGCGUGGGUGCACGCAUCCGUCCGUCUGUCCGUCCCUCCGUCCGUCCGUCCGUCCGUCUGCCCGUGCGCAACCCGCCGCGCCCCAGCGAGCCCCCCCCGCUCCUCGUUAAUAAGGUGUCUCCUUUAUUCAAAAUAUAUACACGCGGGGCGGCCCGGGCCUCGCGGACGGACCGACGGGACAGUCACGAUAGNNNNNNNNNNNNNNNNNNNNUGUCCCGCGGCCCCGCGGCCGCUCCGUCCCCCGCUGGCCCGGCCCGGCGGAGCGUUCCGGGGCUCCGGUCCGGCCUCUCCUCGCCGGCGGCUCGCCCCCGGUCGUGCGUCCCGGAGCCGCUGCCGCAGGGCCCGCACCGCGCCGCGGCGGGGCCGGGCUGGCCCCCGACCGGCCCGCGCUGCCGGCUGUCCUUUCGCUUCAGCGGUUUUAGGAACUCCCGCUCCCCGCGGGCCCGUCCCGGGGCCCGCCCUCAGAGCGUUCCGGUUACCGGCGGGCCGGUGCCCCGCGGCCGGUUUGCGGUGUGAGUCGGUUCCGGCCGCGCCGAAGCUCCGAGGCCCCGACAGACCGCGCUCAGCGGCUCCUCCCGGUAAAGCGCUUCUGCGAAAUGCGCGGAUCCGUGUCCGGCAGCGGCCGGUCUGCUCCGCGCUCGGUAACGGCUUCCCACCGGCGGCGCCGUCACGCUCCCGCUCCCGGUCCCGGUCCUGGUCCCGCUCCGCCCGCGGCUCCGCCCGGCCGCUGAAGCCUUUCUGCUGCCGGCGGCACCGACCCGCCGCGCUCGGUAGUGCGGCUCCCGAGGCCCGGCUCGGCGGCGGCUCGCCCCGUGCGGCUCCCGCUAACGUUUCGCCGUAG
ensembl:lncRNA